CUGGCUUCUUGAAAACUUGUGUGGCUGUGAUUCCUCCAAAACAGGAAGUUCCGUUUGUUGUCGUCUUCGACUUGUAGAAUUUCUCAUCUGGCUAAUUAUUUCGACCGAUACAGUACAGUACAGAUAUAGCGGCAGAAAAUUUCCAAUUUGAUCGUACUCAAAAGAGUCUUGUGCACAGAGACUAAAUGGGGUCUUUGGAGGACACUGAAAUGGUGAGGAUGGAAGUAGAGGAGUCAAAGGAAGCAAUCUUAUAUGUUAAUGGUGUCCGUCGAGUUUUGCCUGAUGGAUUGGCUCAUUUGACUCUUCUUGAGUAUCUCAGAGGUAUAGGUUUGACUGGUACCAAGCUAGGAUGCGGUGAAGGUGGUUGUGGGGCAUGCACUGUCAUGGUUUCUUUUUUUGAUCAAAACAAAAAGAAAUGUGUGCACCAAGCAAUUAAUGCGUGUCUGGCUCCUCUAUAUUCUGUUGAAGGGAUGCAUGUAAUAACAGUGGAGGGUGUUGGGAAUUGCAGGCGUGGCCUACAUCCUGUCCAGGAAUCCUUAGCAUGUUCUCAUGGCUCACAGUGUGGAUUUUGCACUCCUGGUUUCAUUAUGUCCAUUUACGCAUUGCUACGGUCGUCUCAAGAACCACCAACACUAGAGCAGAUUGAAGAAAGCCUUGCUGGAAAUCUUUGUCGAUGUACAGGUUAUAGACCCAUUGUUGAUGCAUUUCGAGUGUUUGCCAAGACUAAUGACAGCUUAUAUGUUAAUGGAGCCUUGGAAGGCCAUAGUGGUCAGUUUAUAUGCCCUUCAACUGGAAAGCCAUGUUCUUGUGGGUUGAAACCAGGAAAUGAAGAUGAGAAGCUAAAAACAGAUAGGUGCUCUGUUGAUGAUUAUAGUCCAGUCUCCUAUAGUGAUACUGAUGGAACGAUAUUCACCAACAAAGAGCUUAUAUUCCCCCCUGAGCUUUUAUUGAGAAAACUAACUUAUUUAUGUCUAACUGGACUAAAUGGCCUGAAUUGGUAUAGGCCUUUGAAGCUUCAGCAUGUAUUAGACCUAAAAGCAAGACAUCCAGAUGCAAAAUUAGUUGUAGGUAACACUGAGGUAGGUAUUGAAAUGAGGCUCAAAAGGAUGGAAUAUCGGGCUUUGAUAUAUAUUGCACACAUCCCUGAACUUAACCAGUUGAGUCUCAAUGAUGAAGGUAUGGAAAUAGGUGCUGCUGUUAAACUUUCAGAGCUCAUGAAAGUACUGCAAACUGUUUCAGGCAAGCGUCCUCUCUAUGAGACUUCAUCAUGUAGAGCUCUCAUUGAGCAGAUCAAAUGGUUUGCCGGAACACAAAUAAGGAAUGCUGCAUCUAUUGGUGGAAAUAUCUGUACUGCCAGUCCAAUAUCAGACUUGAAUCCUCUUUGGAUGGCUGCAGGAGCAAAGUUCUGCAUCAUUGAUGGCAAAGGGAACAUUAGAACAUGCCUGGCUGAAAAGUUUUUCCUAGGUUAUCGCAAGGUGGAUAUGGCUAGUAGUGAAAUCCUGCACUCAGUGUUUUUACCUUGGAAUAAGCAAUAUGAGUUUGUCAAGGAAUUUAAGCAAGCUCACCGGAGGGAUGAUGAUAUUGCAAUUGUUAAUGCUGGAAUGAGGGUUCUUUUUGAACAGAGGGAUACAAAGUGGGUAAUUUCUGAUGCUUCAAUUGUUUAUGGUGGUGUAGCUCCUGUUCCCCUUUUUGCAUAUAAAACAAAACUAUUUCUGAUUGGAAAGACUUGGAGCAAGGAGCUAAUGCAGGAUGCUUUGGAAGUUCUACAGGAGGACAUUGUGUUGAAAGAAAAUGCUCCUGGCGGAAUGGUUGAGUUCAGAAAAUCUUUAACACUUAGUUUCUUCUUCAAAUUUUUCUUGUGGGUAUGUCACCACAUUGAUGGACAAACAUCCUGUCCUUCAGGCAUUCCAUCAUCCCAUCUCUCAGCCAUACAACCAUUUCAUCGAACAUCUGUAACUGGAAGUCAGGACUUUGACAUAACAAAACAUGGAACUGCUGUAGGGUCUCCUGAAGUCCAUCUUUCCUCGAAACUUCAGGUUUCAGGAGAGGCAGAAUAUACUGAUGAUACCCCAGUGCCUCCCAACAGUUUGUGUGCUGCUUUGGUGCUAAGUAAAAAGCCUCAUGCACGUAUACUGUCUAUUGACGAUUCUGGAGCCAAGUCUUCACCUGGGUUUGCUGGAAUCUUUUUUGCUAAAGAUAUUCCCGGUAACAAUAAUAUUGGGCCUGUCAUUGCAGAUGAGGAACUUUUUGCCUCGGAAUUUGUCACUUGUGUUGGUCAGGUAAUAGGAGUAGUUGUUGCUGAUACACAUGAAAAUGCAAAAAAUGCUGCAAGAAGGGUUCAUAUUGAGUAUGAUGAACUGCCAGCUAUUUUAUCUAUAAAAGAUGCCAUUCACUGUAACAGUUUCCAUCCUAAUACAGAAAAGUGUUUGAGGAAAGGUGAUGUAGAUCUGUGUUUCCAAUCAGAUCAGUGUGAUAAAAUCAUGGAAGGGGAAGUCCAGGUCGGUGGUCAGGAACAUUUCUACUUGGAGCCGAAUAGCAGCUUAGUAUGGACAGUCGAUAAUGGCAACGAAGUUCAUAUGGUCUCAUCCACCCAAGCUCCGCAAAAGCACCAGAAGUAUGUGUCUCGCGUUCUUGGACUUCCAAUGUCAAAAGUUGUUUGCAAGACAAAGAGAAUUGGUGGUGGGUUUGGUGGAAAAGAAACAAGAUCGGCUUUCCUUGCUGCUAGUGCUGCAAUUGCAUCCUAUUUGUUAAAUCGGCCAGUAAAACUUACUUUGGACCGUGACAUUGACAUGAUGAUUACUGGUCAGCGGCACAGCUUUCUUGGAAAGUAUAAGGUUGGCUUUACAAACAAUGGGAAGGUCCUCGCAUUGGAUCUUGAAAUAUACAAUAAUGGUGGAAAUUCACUUGAUCUGUCACUUGCUGUACUUGAGCGUGCUAUGUUCCAUUCAGACAAUGUCUAUGAGAUACCAAAUGUCAGAAUUAAUGGAAGGGUCUGCUAUACUAAUUUUCCUAGUAACACGGCUUUCAGAGGAUUUGGUGGCCCACAAGGCAUGCUGAUUACUGAAAACUGGGUUCAGAGAAUUGCUAUGGAAUUGAAGAAAAGCCCAGAAGAAAUCAGGGAAAUAAAUUUUCAGAGAGAAGGAUCAGUAUUGCAUUAUGGACAAAAGAUAGAGCACUCCACCUUGGACCGUAUCUGGAAUGAGUUGAAGACAUCUUGUGAUCUUUAUAACGCUCGCAAAGAAGUUGAUCAGUUCAAUAGUAAUAAUCGAUGGAAGAAACGUGGAAUUGCUCUAAUUCCUACGAAGUUUGGCAUUUCUUUCACUACAAAGUUUAUGAACCAGGCUGGUGCCCUUGUUCAAGUCUAUACAGACGGAACUGUUUUAAUAACGCAUGGGGGCGUUGAAAUGGGGCAAGGGUUGCAUACAAAGGUUGCUCAAAUUGCAGCUUCUUCCUUUAAUAUUCCUCUGAGUUCAGUGUUCAUCUCAGAGACAAGUACUGACAAGGUAUUGCCAUACUAAUUACUUCUACAUUUGGAUACUCUCAUAUGCUUUUAAAGAACUGUUGCCAUAUUGAUUUACUGUUGCCUCCAGUUCUUUCCAAGGUGUUUGACUAAUUUGAAUUGACAGUGGUCUUUAUUUGGUUGUUAACUUCAAGUCUGGCAAUCAAGAUUGAAGCAACACUACUUCUGCCUCCAAUUUGUUCAAUCAGUAAACUUCAAAAACAUGUCUUAUAUGGAGCUACUGACAAAACAAAGCUUAAGUAGCAAAAUUGAACAAAUAAACUAUGUUUGUGGUCCCCAAAAAUGAUAGAACUCUUGGCUUUGGGCCUUAGUAGUGCUUAUGGUCUGAGUACUAAAAAGCUUACAUCCAAUGAAAAUUCCAACAUGGUUUCCUAAUUCUGCAUUGUUCUCCCCUGUUUGGUGAAUACUUGAAGUCAACAUCUAUAGUGCAGGAGUAUCACAAUUAAUGAUCUUUACCUGUCUGUUGCAUCUGAUUAUGGACAUCUUGAAUAUGAGUGGUCCGUGCUUCUAUCACCAAGAUAGGGUCAUUGAAGUCUGGCUUCUCAAUCUUUUCCCAAGACUUCAAUGAAAAAGUGAGUAGUUGGAACAAAUAAUAGGGACUUCUUUAGAUCUCAUUCCGAAAGUCAAUGAACAACACCAAAUUAAUAUUGCUUGAUUUUGCAAUGGCAUCUUUUAGGUUUUCCCUUACUGUAUUGCCUUCAAAAGUUGCUUUUUCAGCCUCUACUUUCAUCAGAAGAUCCUUUCAUUCAAGUAUAAUCUUCACUGAGUUUUCAUGAAGAGCAGUGUCUUGAGAUUUUAUGAUAAUAUUCUGUGUAAAUUGCUGAAGAACAGUUCUGCUGAAGCUUCACAAACUUCAACUACCUCAUUAGAAAUUGCUGAGAACUGGAUUACUCUUGUUGGAGCUUUAGAUUCAACAUCAGCGACAGAUAUACCUGAUUUUCUGACUGUAGUGGCAGUAUUAGUAUCAGAUCCGGUUUUUCCAGCUCUUGUUAAAUGAAUGAUGAGGAUUCUUGAAGCAUCAAAAGUUUAUCAUGCUUCUCUGAUCCAUCUUUAAAAGCAUGGUUGAUUUCUUCCUGCUCUGGCAAGGAUGAAUUUAAGGUUCCAAAUGCAACUCCAACAGCAGCUUCUGCAAGUUCUGAUAUGUAUGGUGCUGCAGUUCUGGAUGCUUGUGAACAAAUAAAUGUUAGGAUGAAGCCCAUUGCAUCAACACGUAACUAUAGCUCUUUUGCUGAGGGAUUCCAUUCAGGUACUUCACCUAUGGAGCUGCUUUUGCUGAAGUUGAAAUUGACACGUUGACAGGAGAUUUCCACACUACAAAAGCAGACGUUACCUUGGAUUUGGGGUUUUCCCUCAAUCCUGCAAUUGAUGUUGGGCAGAUUGAAGGAGCAUUCAUACAAGGUCUUGGAUGGGCAGCAUUGGAAGAGUUGAAAUGGGGAGAUCCUGCACACAGGUGGAUUCCAGCUGGCUUCUUAUACACUUGUGGUCCUGGAAAUUACAAAAUUCCCUCUGUCAAUGAUGUGCCCCUUAAAUUCAACAUUUCUCUUUUGAAGGGUGCUCCAAAUGCUAAGGCCAUCCAUUCAUCUAAAGCUGUGGGGGAACCUCCAUUCUUUCUUGCCUCAGCAGUCCUUUUUGCUAUAAAAGAUGCUAUAGUUUCAGCAAGAGCAGAAGUAGGUUGUAGUGACUGGUUUCCUCUAGACAAUCCAGCGACACCUGAACGCAUCCGGAUGGCUUGUCCUGAUGAAUUCACUAAAGCAUUUGUAGACUCGGAUUUCCGCCCGAAGCUCAGCAUUUGAUAAAAACUUACCCUGUAUUUAUUGUAAGAAUCAUACUUGUACAUCUUUGUGUGACUAUUGUAGCUAUGUAAUUCCAACUCUGAAAAGUGAAAGCAAUUAAAAAAAAAAAAUUUGUUGUAUUAUGGUAUUGGUUUAAAAUGUUGUAUCAUGGUAUUGGUUAAGUAAUGAGGUUGCGAGGCAUCAAUAAUUGUGCUAUUCCUACUCAUUAUUUGUGCUAUGAAAUUCCAAUGAAGAAAAUAAUGUCAAAUCUUUGUUGUGAAUCAGCUGCUCAAAUAUGGUUUUGAGCACUGAACUUGAGAAUUGCUCUAGGAGGAAUGUAUUUAUGCGGUGCUAAUGAUUUCUUGACUA